GAUGAACGCUAGCGGCAGGCUUAACACAUGCAAGUCGAGGGGUAGAGGCUUUCGGGCCUUGAGACCGGCGCACGGGUGCGUAACGCGUAUGCAAUCUGCCUUGUACUGGGGGAUAGCCCAGAGAAAUUUGGAUUAAUACCCCAUAGUAUUUUCGGUUGGCAUCAACUGAUUAUUAAAGUUUUUCGGUACAAGAUGAGCAUGCGUCCCAUUAGCUAGUUGGUAUGGUAACGGCAUACCAAGGCUACGAUGGGUAGGGGUCCUGAGAGGGAGAUCCCCCACACUGGUACUGAGACACGGACCAGACUCCUACGGGAGGCAGCAGUGAGGAAUAUUGGUCAAUGGUCGCAAGACUGAACCAGCCAUGCCGCGUGCAGGAUGAAGCAUCUAUGGUGUGUAAACUGCUUUUGUACGGGAAGAAACACUCCUACGUGUAGGGGCUUGACGGUACCGUAAGAAUAAGGAUCGGCUAACUCCGUGCCAGCCGCCGCGGUAACAC
rnacentral:rRNA from 1 species